UACCAGCUCUCCGAGUGGUGUGGAUGUUUAUUGGGCCUAAAGCAUCCGUAGCUGGCUGGACAAGUCCCCUGUUAAAUCCACCGAUUUAAUCGUUGGUGUGCGGGGGAUACUGUUCGGCUGGGGGACGGGAGAGGCCGACGGUAUUUUCGGGGUAGGGGUGAAAUCCUAUAAUCCCGGGAAGACCACCAGUGGCGAAGGCUGUCGGCUAGAACGCGCCCGACGGUGAGGGAUGAAAGCUGUGGGAGCGAACCGGAUUAGAUACCCGGGUAGUCCCAGCUGUAAACGAUGCAGGCUAGGUGUUUGGGCGGCCACGUGCCGCUCUAGUGCCGCAGAGAAGUCGUUAAGCCUGCCGCCUGGGGAGUACGGCCGCAAGGCUGAAACUUAAAGGAAUUGGCGGGGAGCACCACAAGGGGUGAAGCUUGCGGUUU
rnacentral:rRNA from 1 species